AGCCUGAACGCUGGCGGCGUGGCUAAGACAUGCAAGUCGUACGGAGGUAGCAAUACCUCAGUGGCGAACGGGUGAGUAAUGAAUCGUUAACGUGCCCCGGACUCUGGGAUAGCCGGUCGAAAGGCCGGGUAAUACCAGAUGAUAUACCUUUAUCGCAUGAUAGAGGUCUCAAAGGUCCGCCGGUCUGGGAGCGGGCGAUUUCGUAUCAGCUAGUUGGUGAGGUAACGGCUCACCAAGGCGACGACGCGUAGCCGGACUGAGAGGUUGGCCGGCCACAUUGGGACUGAGACACUGCCCAGACUCCUACGGGGGGCUGCAGUAACGAAUCUUCCGCAAUGCACGAAAGUGUGACGGAGCGACGCCGCGUGUGGGACGAAGCCCUUCGGGGUGUAAACCACUGUCAGAGGAAAGAAAGUUCUGAUCUACCUCAGAGGAAGAGGCGGCUAACUCUGCGCCAGCAGCCGC
rnacentral:rRNA from 1 species